rnacentral:piRNA from 1 species
UACUUGAUGCCUCUCAUCGACAUACAAGCC